UGGAACUCUCUUCCACAGGAGGUCCAGUUAGACCCCUUGCUGCUCUCCUUCCACCAGCAAGCUAAAACAUUUUAUUUAAGCAAGUUUUUAACUUAUUUUUAAUCACAUGGCAGAACAGUGUUGAAAGUGCUAUGCUGUGUCAACACUCUCCUGUCUGGUGUGUAAAUGCUGUUGUCUCCAAAACACACUACUAAUACACUCAUUAGUAGCAGACUACUGAAAUUCUACCUCUGCCAGAAGUAUCCAGGAAAGCAAACUGUUUUCAGAGAAACUAAUUACCAGUGCAUCUAGAACUGGGCAGCCUGAAAAAGAGGCAGAGAAGAGGCCAGAAGAAUAGCCUCUCUGCAUCCCUUGAAAUGUGAUUAUAUGCCUGUUACACCUGUCCAGCAAUCGAAC